AUGAGAUAGAGCCUCAUAGCACAGAAACCACAGAGGACGAGUUUCUUAGCUUUGUCAUCUCUGAAAUGGGAAUAAUAAUAUUACUCCCAUCUUGCAAGGCUUUGGGGAAGAUGAGAGCGAAUGUGAAAAGGUCUAUGGGAGAGGUCCUUGUGGGUUAAGGUGUGGGGGGAGUCCCCAGCCCCUCCGCGGGCACUCAGAGGGAUGUGGGAGGACUGUGGAGCCUGUGCUUAUUGAUGCUGUUUCUUUUCAAUCAAACCUCUGUCAGAAACAAUGCAUGACAUCAAAAUGGAGGAGAUGUCGAGUUUGAACGGUCCUGUAAGACCUGCCUGAGAACAGGGCCAGGAGCCACCCCUUGGCAUACUCUACGCCUGUCACUGGGCCCAGCAAUCACAGAACUCAGGACAUGGAUGCAAUUAAAUAAAGAAAACCUCUGUGAUUCUCUGGCGCUGACAACACCCUGGAAUGCAUCUACAGCUCCAGGGCCGCCAUUUUGUCCUAAGAGGAAGCCAGCUUCCUCCCUCAGGAAGGAAACCCAGGUCAAGAGGACGGAAUGGUUACUCAUGUCAUGUGUGCUCAGUGGCUGCCCAUCUCAGCGUCAGCGGUAUGAACAGAGCACUCUGGAGG